GAUGAACGCUGGCGGCGUGCCUAAUACAUGCAAGUCGAGCGAACAGACGAGGAGCUUGCUCCUUUGACGUUAGCGGCGGACGGGUGAGUAACACGUGGAUAACCUACCUAUAAGACUGGGAUAACUUCGGGAAACCGGAGCUAAUACCGGAUAACAUGUUGAACCGCAUGGUUCAACAGUGAAAGACGGUUUUGCUGUCACUUAUAGAUGGAUCCGCGCCGCAUUAGCUAGUUGGUAAGGUAACGGCUUACCAAGGCAACGAUGCGUAGCCGACCUGAGAGGGUGAUCGGCCACACUGGAACUGAGACACGGUCCAGACGCCUACGGGAGGCAGCAGUAGGGAAUCUUCCGCAAUGGGCGAAAGCCUGACGGAGCAACGCCGCGUGAGUGAAGAAGGUCUUCGGAUCGUAAAACUCUGUUAUUAGGGAAGAACAAAUGUGUAAGUAACUAUGCACGUCUUGACGGUACCUAAUCAGAAAGCCACGGCUAACUACGUG
rnacentral:rRNA from 1 species